rnacentral:rRNA from 1 species
ACGCUAGCUACAGGCUUAACACAUGCAAGUCGAGGGGCAGCAUCAUCAAAGCUUGCUUUGAUGGAUGGCGACCGGCGCACGGGUGAGUAACACGUAUCCAACCUGCCGACAACACUGGGAUAGCCUUUCGAAAGAAAGAUUAAUACCGGAUGGCAAAAUUUUCCCGCAUGGGAUAAUUAUUAAAGAAUUUCGGUUGUCGAUGGGGAUGCGUUCCAUUAGGCAGUUGGCGGGGUAACGGCCCACCAAACCAACGAUGGAUAGGGGUUCUGAGAGGAAGGUCCCCCACAUUGGAACUGAGACACGGUCCAAACUCCUACGGGAGGCAGCAGUGAGGAAUAUUGGUCAAUGGACGAGAGUCUGAACCAGCCAAGUAGCGUGAAGGAUGACUGCCCUAUGGGUUGUAAACUUCUUUUAUACGGGAAUAAAGUUAGCCACGUGUGGCUUUUUGUAUGUACCGUAUGAAUAAGGAUCGGCUAACUCCGUGCCAGCAGCCGCGGUAAUACGGAGGAUCCGAGCGUUAUCCGGAUUUAUUGGGUUUAAAGGGAGCGUAGGCGGGUUGUUAAGUCAGUUGUGAAAGUUUGCGGCUCAACCGUAAAAUUGCAGUUGAUACUGGCGACCUUGAGUGCAACAGAGGUAGGCGGAAUUCGUGGUGUAGCGGUGAAAUGCUUAGAUAUCACGAAGAACUCCGAUUGCGAAGGCAGCUUACUGGAUUGUAACUGACGCUGAUGCUCGAAAGUGUGGGUAUCAAACAGGAUUAGAUACCCUGGUAGUCCACACAGUAAACGAUGAAUACUCGCUGUUGGCGAUAUGCGGUCAGCGGCCAAGCGAAAGCAUUAAGUAUUCCACCUGGGGAGUACGCCGGCAACGGUGAAACUCAAAGGAAUUGACGGGGGCCCGCACAAGCGGAGGAACAUGUGGUUUAAUUCGAUGAUACGCGAGGAACCUUACCCGGGCUUAAAUUGCAACUGACGGAACCGGAAACGGUCCUUUCUUCGGACAGUUGUGAAGGUGCUGCAUGGUUGUCGUCAGCUCGUGCCGUGAGGUGUCGGCUUAAGUGCCAUAACGAGCGCAACCCUUACGGGUAGUUACCAUCAGGUUAUGCUGGGGACUCUACCCGGACUGCCGUCGUAAGAUGUGAGGAAGGUGGGGAUGACGUCAAAUCAGCACGGCCCUUACGUCCGGGGCUACACACGUGUUACAAUGGGGGGUACAGAAGGUAGCUACACGGCGACGUGGUGCUAAUCCCAAAAGCCUCUCUCAGUUCGGAUUGGAGUCUGCAACCCGACUCCAUGAAGCUGGAUUCGCUAGUAAUCGCGCAUCAGCCACGGCGCGGUGAAUACGUUCCCGGGCCUUGUACACACCGCCCGUCAAGCCAUGAAAGCCGGGGGUACCUGAAGUACGUAACCGCGAGGAGCGUCCUAGGGUAAAACUGGUGAUUGGGGC